GCACCGGAACGGUCGCUCGGCUCCGCAAGGGGCAGGGAGGAAAGUCCGAGCACGGUAGGACAAGGUGGUGGGUAACACCCACCGACCCGCUGCAGGGUCAGGGAAAGUGCCACAGAAAAUAAACCGCCUCAGUACAAGGCUUCGGCUGCGUUCUGCGGUAAGGGUGAAACGGUGCGGUAAGAGCGCACCGCCCGACCGGUGACGGUCGGGGCAGGGCAAACCCCACCUCGUGCAAGUGUAAAUCGUUCCGCUCGGUCAGCCUUCGGGUUGGCCGCGCCUCCGUGGUCCGCGGGGCUGGAACAGGUAGCGCGCUAGAGCCGGCGGGCAAUCGCCGGCCCAGAGAAAUGGCCGUUGCUUGAUCGCGCAAUCGAUCAGGAACAGAACUCGGCUUAGCGGUGCAUGC
rnacentral:RNase_P_RNA from 1 species